GCUCUAAUGGAAGUUGGUAUGGUUAAAGUUCAAAAUUUGAAAAGAGUUCAUACAAAAUAAUCUCCGGUAAAUGUGUACCGUGUUUAGUAACUUAGUGUGAUGGAAAACUCAAACGAACACACAUAUAACUCAUUUAUUCAUGAGAACGAAGGAAAUCGAAGAGACCUACCUCACAGACUGCCAGAGAACUUUCCAGUAGAGUCUUAAUAUCAUUUUUAAAACAAGGAGAUUUUUCAAUGGAGUGUUUCUUAAUGUGAAAUCGAAAACUGGACGUCUGUCCGUCCAUCAUCGUCCGACUAGCUCCCACGAAAAGAUUUGGAAAAGUUGGUUUAAAACUCCUACGGGAACCAUUUGACUGUUUUAAGUGACAGGACGAUGAGAUGCCCAUCUUUGGUUUAAUUUUAUUUUGUUUACGAAAUUUGAACGCAAGAUAAAAACUUGACUGAUCUUCAUUCCUGGACUCACUCCCAGCAACAAUCAUAUUCGAAACCUCUUUUAUAAUUGUUGUGAUGCUAACAAACCGUUACCAUUCUCAUUGUGGAUGCAUAGAUGCAGUAGAUUCACCAAUAAAUGCCAUAUAAUCGAAAUUAAAAAGACAGAUAUGUUUAUAGAAGAUUCUGGAUAAUUUACCAACAUAAUUGAAGAACAAUGGAACAUUUCAUGUUUGAAGUAGCAACACCAGUAAAUACCAGUUCAUCAGACGAAUAAACCAAAGUUCAGGAAUGUGAAACUUAUUUCAUUGGACAAAAAUUUAUUGAUAUCCACAUCAUUAUUCUUGUUAAAUAUAACUACGAAACUAAGAUUAACAAUUUCAUGUAAUAUUUACAUAGUACUUUUCUUUUAUUAGUCAACGAAGAAAUUGGUCUUAGAUUAACAAUUGACUCGAAAAUGCUGUCAUUGACUCUCUGCUCAAAUGUUCCCCGUUUACUCACAUACCACUACUAUAUUCAGGAUGAGUUAAAUUAAGCAACUUAGUUUCAAUGACAUUCUUAGUUAUCAUGCAUUUUUUUGCAUGAUAAAUUAUUGGCGAAAAUAAUUUAUUUAUCAAAAAUGACUGAAACAAGAAAAAGAUAAAUUAUUGGCGAAACUCCCCACUGAAGCAUC